AUAAAAGGAACUCACUCCUCCAUUGGUGGAGGGUCCUAUGUCAGUGGCAAGAUUAUUAUGCUUAAUGAUGUACAACAUAAAAAUCCUUUUUUACGAUAUGCAAAAGCAUUUUGAUAAUUUGCUUUAAAUAAUAAACAAGAGGAGAAUUCUCCUCGCAGUCCGUGAGAGUCAUCACCGAAUGCAGGCAGGCAGCCAUAAAAAGUUUGAGCGUGCCGUAAAAAACACUUAAAGGAGCUGAAUCAGAGGUGGUAGGAAAAGGAGGAAAGCCCCUAAUGGGUUGCUUAAGAACACGUUGCCACUUUGCCAGGGAGAGGAGAAAAAUCAUUUUCAUGUAAAUUGACACGUUUCAUUAUGAAGAUGGAUCUGCAAAGUACAAGUAGUGGUGGCGUAUCUGCUGGUACAGGGAGCUGGGUCCCACGUUGGGCGCCAUUUACUAAGAGGGCUAAGAUGAUGAGCUGCAGCACCAGGAGCUGAAUGUGGUUGUCAUUGCCAGGGUAACAACUAACCGAAGGGAGAAAAUCUGAGAAGUGGAGAGCCACGUAUCAUCGUGGCACACAUUGUGGUCGGACUUGCCGGUUGCGAAACAUGAUAUGAUAUGCGGUAAAUAAACAGCCAGACACCAAGCUCACAUUGUUCUUGUUUUCAUUUUUUUUUUGUGGUGUGGUGUAAGGAGUGGAGAUUUGCGGGUUUGAGGUAGCAACAAUUGGCCGGUAAUCCCUUUUGAUUUCGAAACAGGAAGCAGCCCAGCGUGACAAGUUUUAAGUUUCCACAUAAUUAAGCGGUUCGAUUUGUGUGUGCUUUAAAAAGGUGAUGAAAAGGGUGAGCAAUAUUGGUAAUAAACACCCCUGUAUAUUUAUAAUCUUUAAUUCUUUUUGUUUGCAUAUUUUUUUAUGUUUAUAUUUUAUAGCCUCAUAAAAAUGGGAAAGGUAAUAAUCCAAAUGUAUUAUUGAAAAUUAUUUCGUACAGCUAUAGCACAUAUGCACUUUCUGAACACCUCUAAGUUGUUAAUAAAAUUUUACGGUUUCAUCAGGAGAACAUUAAAAUUUGUACAAAAGAAAGUACCCCGUUUUUAUAUGGCAAUUUUAUGCUUAACCAAAGGCAUACAGUAUUUCAGUAUUUCAGCACGAAUUCUCAAAGCUCUCAAAGUUACGAUCUGUUAACCAGCCGACUUUCCUUCGCGGAUCGAGAAACCUAUCCUAUCAUUAGCAUUUUAACCAGCUCGUUCAGCCAGACCGCCCCCCAAUCCAGAUGACCGGCAAUUGUGGUGAAGCAUUCUCGAUGCUUUCACCCAGGUCUUAACCCCCUGCUGGUGCCAGGGGCUCUGAAGUGGACACUCUAACCGAGUCGACUGUAAUUUUGUACACAUGCUGAUAUCGCUGAACCAAAUCACUUAUUCAGGCGGUGGAGAAAAAUAAAACAGUUUUGCCGGCGGGGACGGUGCUGGCUCCCCAGUCACCGCCAACUCAAUUAAGCCGGAGAUAAAAAAUCAAAUGGACCACUAUGCUGGCUGCAGACCUCAACACUCUCAUUUGCAGUUGAAUGUAAAAUGUGAAAUGGGAGCGGAGAAUUGAAUGCAGCAUGUGGUUGUGAACCUGGUGGCCACUCAUCGUCACCAAGCAUGUCAAGUGUUUUUAGCCGCAGCCCCUCCUCGUGUGUUUCGUAUUCGUAUUCUCCCCAUCCCGCCGUCAACAUAAAAAUCCAAUUUUCGUAAUUAAAAAAAAUAUAAGCCAUGCAAUACAGCUGCCUUGGGGGCAUUCGCAGGGCCAGAGUCCGAGUCUCAUCUCAUUAGAGCACUUCCCGUAGUGGCUGCAGGCUGCCUCAUCAUGGCCCUUCCCCGCCCAUUUAACGGUGGCAUAAACUCUUGAGACCAACCAAAUUCACUACAUUGCAAAAACACUUAUCAACUUAAUUCGUUUCUUAAAUAAUUAAUGAAUUAAUUCCUUAAAAAAAUGCUGUAUCUUAUGAUUGAAAAUGUGUAAAGAAAACUGUAGCCAACACUUAUUACACUCUA